CAGUUUUAUUUCAGCUUCACUGAAGUAAAGACCAUUCCUGCACUCUAGUGCUGGAUCUUUUUUUCUAUGUAGAACAGUGGAGAGCUUUAAUUAACAGUUUAUUUAUCUUAGGAUGAUUUGUUUAAAUGAUGCUAUUUUGAACUAGAUUUUAUUAAAUGACAGACUACUUGCUCCUUCUCUUUGGCAAUGUGCAUUCAUGAUGGAUUUGAAUCACUUCAUCAUAUUUCCACACUUAAAUGAUGACAUGGAUCAACCUAUGACUGGAUUCUUCAGGACAGAGCAAGAGGCUUGGAGAGUCUUGGCUUCAUUUCCUUGACAUGCUUUUCCCCAUCUGGGCUGGAUAGUACAGCUCUGGCCUCAGGAUGCCUGCACACUCCUCUGCUGCCCUCCUGGAGCAUCUCAUCAGCGUUUGGUUAUAAUUCAGUGUCCAUCAAUGCUGGCACAGUCACACUUCCUAAUGCUAGCUGCCUAACAGGUUCUUCCCCCCGCUCUGCUUUCCUGAGCCUGUCUUCACGUAGUCCUGCCAGUGAUCCUGUGCUACAAAAACAGAUGGACACAAGCUGCUGCACCCAUCAGCUACACAGCUGCACUUCAUUCCACAGCAAAAAUGUAUCAACAUUAAUUCUUGACUGUGAGCUCCUGCCCAGCACCAUCAGCACCCCUACCACAGCAGGGAGCAGCCCCCCACCAUCAGCAAGUCAAUGCUUGGGGGCUCAGCACAGGCACUUGAAGCACCAUAACAUAAAUAAACUAUGGGUGAGAUGAAGGGAAAAAUAGUCAAAUAAUUUCCUGUUGUGCAAUUACAAUAAAAAUAGCUAAUCCUGAAUGAAGCUCUUGCUUCAUUCUUGUAUCCAUGGCAACAGAAAGGGAGAUUGGAAGACUGGCUGCAGAUGAACGCAGCGCUCUCCGUCCCAGCAGCCAGCUCAGCCUGCCCAGUGUUGCAGCAGGCAGGGGAGGAGGGCUGCUCUGCUGCUGGGGUGGGCUCUGCCCUGUGCUGAGAGGGACCAGUGGCAGGGAAACACAGGUCCACGCUCAGCAAUCUCUGCAUGAGUCCCUUACGCUUUCAGAGCAUCCUGCUCUGCUCCCUGGGUCUUUUCCAAAGGCAAGCAUAGAGAAUCAUGGAGAGAUGUACAGUGCACAGUGUUCCUUGGCCCAAGUAAAGGCAGAGAGCCUGAGUUCUCAGUGAGGAAUCAGCAUAAAUCAAAUGACAGGUCACCAGCUGAAGUGGUUCAAUACUUCUCCCUUGAAGCAACAGGUUUCAGUGCUUGGCUUAGGUGCUAACUCAAGUCAGCUGGGGCAGUUUGCAUUUUAGGGGCACCAUUGCCCCUAAAAAGGGGUUUGGUGUAUUGCUGAUAAUCUGUGAAUUACCUAUCAACAUGGGUAUGUUUGUGCUUCCUCUGUGAAACUUUAUACAAGUCACUGAGUGCCAGUGAGCCGCAGGUCAGUAUCCCAUGCUGGACAGUAUCCCCAUUUUGGAUAGUAUCCUCAUGUUGUCAGUAAUUCUAUUUUGGACAAUAUCUCCAUUUCAUUCCCAGUAAGUCUGUUGAAAUUAUGUUGAUGAGCCCAUUAAUAUUGUCUGGAAAACAGUAACUACCACAUGGGUUCAAAAGCAUACCUUCAAUUCCCAGUUGGAAAAUAUCCCGUAUUUCAAGUUCUCUUGCCCUAUCUAGUGUUUGUUUUACAAGUUUAAGUGCAAGAUAUCAGGACUUGGAUACAAAUUUCAAAUGUCAUGUCCAGGUGAACAGAGGCCAUAAUUAUUGUAUCCUAGUCACAUCUAUGUUUAUUUGCAUGUUCUCAACUCCUGCUUAUAAUGAAUUGCUGGUCAUGAAAUUCCUCCUCGUGAAAAGGAUAUUAAAUUUGAUUAUUGCAAUCAGUUUUCAUUUGAUAUUAAUGUUCUUAUAAGUACACUGAAUUGCACUGCAUUUUUGUUGGAAAAUCAUAUAAUACAAAAUCUUAUGUGCUUCACUGAUGAUAGCACCAGAAACACAUAAACUUCUUGCAAUUUUAUGUAUGAAGAAGCAGCUUUCCUAAUCAAAGUACUGGGAGUAAUGAAAAAGCCUUUGUAACAUAAUAUCAUAAGCAUUGUGAAAAUUGUGAACACUGAGCUGCUGGGAAAAAAACCCACUUUACUAUAUUUUUCACGUCAUGGGAAGAUGGGUGAGUAGCCUCCUUUAAAAAGGUAACCAUACACAAUACAGGAUCACCUCUUGGAGAAAAAUAGCUGUGCAAAGUAGGACAUAAUAAUCUGUGUUAUGUAAUGCUGUUAAUUUUUUCUGAUUGUGAGUUUUUGUAGUUGUUGGAGUUUUUUUCCUCAAGGACCAUAUUUGACUGAUAUGCCAUCUUCAGUGGACGGCAUUUCUAUGGGGAUUUUUAUUCAUUACAAGAAACUAAGGCAAGGAAAAAAGGUUUCAAUAACUGUUUUUACCCAGGUGAAGGCCAUACAAAAUGACAGAAGGAAUCAGGCCUUUUUUUGAUACUUUGGUUCAACUAGCUUUCUUGUAGGCAGCAGAGAACCAUUCUGUAAAGAAGAGUUAGUCUUCUGCUGCUGUCCUGAUGCAUGCAAGUGUGAAUUAAAGCUUUUUUCCUAAAUAUCCUCUAUGCACAUUAGUGAAUAACUCAUUCCACACCCAGAACAUUGUCUAGUUUGGAGGGUGACUGGCAUGGCUUGGCUUGCCCCUGUACAGUUGACUCUGCUAUUGCCAGUGUCUGCACUGUGCAGAGGGACAGAUCCUGCUCAGCCACCCUCUGACAGCAGUCCUGCCCUACAGCUGUGUCAGGGAUGGGCCAGCAAUCCCACAGAAUGGACAAACGUGCCAGCCCUGCUCGUGUCCUCAUCUUAUUUAGUUUACUGGGAGGGAAAUAACUUUUAUGGCUGAGAGGCAGCCUAGUUUCUCCCAGCAGCUGCCCACCUGAAGGUUAGCAGAAAGCUUUCGCUGUCACACCAAUGCUCAGAGUUAAUCCAUCAGGCACUAUUUGCAGUUGAUCUGAAUCACUGAUGUGACUGGAAGAAGCAGUGAUGGAAAUGAAAGGGAAAGACUGUUGGGUGAUCCCCAGUCAAAAAGAAAUUUCCUCUGCAUCCCAAGAACAUUUAAAUGAAAAAUCUCCUGUUUUCCUCAAUAUCUGUUACCUUUAUCAACAGCAGCCUGUACUCUUCUAAAGCCCUUUGCAAACCCUGUUACUGUUGUCCUUUCACCUAGAGUUUCUGCAGUCUCCACCUCUCCUUCACUGCCAAUUUCUCAAGCAUUUUUAGCCACAGGUUGUGUCCUUUGCCAGUGAUUCUUCUCUACUUCUGCCAAAACUAGCCACCUUAGUAAAUUGAACAAUGUUAGGAAGGUCACCUUGGUAGGAGGGUCACAGCUGCAGCUCUGUCCAUCAUCCCAAGCAAUUCCUAUGAAGUGUUCAUGGGUUGGCACAGAAGGAUCUUCCGGUGUUACUUUCAGGAGGUGAUUUCAGUGCAGCUCCUGUUUCAGUGCAGUGCCUAUUUUGAAGCAGAAGAGAGCAUGACAUGACUGGCAUGGCCAGCCAAGCUGUGCUGUUGCACUCCCCUGCUCCAAGACUGCCUCUCCUCCUCUCCAGGCACAGGGCUAGUCUGUGCCAGGGGGACACAGCGAGCUCGUCCUGGCACCAUUUAGUGUCUCAGAUAGAAGCUAAUAAGCAGAUAAAGCAAAUGGGAUCUCAGUGUAAUGGUAGUUGGGGUAUUUAAUUCUUGCUGCAAAACUUUAGGGCCUCAGUUAUUGCCAAUCUAUUCCCUUAAUGUGCUUAUUCAACGUUUGGACUCGGCGAUGAAAGCUCUCUAUUCCAUUACAAUGGAAGGGAAAUGUUUUCUUAUGAACACUGGAAAUGCUGUGGGUACAAGGGAGGAGCAGGCUGAAUUUGUGACCCCUGAAUUGUGAGACAGGUGGUGCUGAGGAUGACGAGCAGUUGGGGAAGAAGCAGCUUCCCCAUUUGGGCAGCAGCUGCCCUGUGCCACAGCAGGUCCCACUCGGUGUCCUGCCACGCCACAUCUGUGCUGAUGGGAACAAUUGGCACCACACCACCAGGAGCUCUCCAGUGAACAUGGACAGCUCCUCUGUCACCCAGCUCCAGCACAGCACCUGAAGGAAAUUACUGGGGUUUUCCUAUAGAAAGAAUGGUGGAGGAAAUAAAUAUUUUCUCAUUAUUUUCAAAUAUUUCCUUUGACAUUUUUCAAUUUUUCUUUCAAAACAAGACCCAGAAAAAAUACUGAUCAGAAGCAGUUUCUGAAAUUUUCUCCUAUGUGUUCUCUUUAACAAAUGUUGGUUUUAUCCUGAUUUUCCCUGAACAAUACAAACCAUAUUGCUACAGGAAAAAAAAAAAAAAAAAAAAAAAAAAAAA
ensembl:lncRNA